GGAGGCUGGGUUUUGUGGACCAUUAACUUUAUUUGACAAAGGCAUUUAGGGGUUUAAAUCUGUAGUUUGUAAUUGCUGCUUCAGUGAGAUUUGGGAACAUAUGUAGGAUGAAGAUGCCUAAAUGCACCUGUGGAUUUGGGUCAGUGUUCUCAAAGAUGCAACUCAGCUAUAUUGUUUAGAAACAGGUACCGGUUGGUCCUGAAAACAGGUCUGUAGGAUCCCCGGCUUUCCUGGAGGGGUAGUUUAUACUACAUGAGGCUCCUUUUUUCUUUACUUCCUUUCAUCUCAGUAUAGAAACAAAAUCUGUCUUGGUACCUUCUAGAAGGACCAGAUCCUCGUAAGUGCUGCUGUGUAGUCUUCUGAGGAUACUAAUUAUCCACAUCAGAAUAUGUUCCAAAUUGUUAUUUAGCCAGCGAAUGGCAUCCAUGCUAGAAGGUCAGCAUGAGAGCCAACAGAAAAUUGCCUCUUUGCCACACUUUCUGUGAAUGUAGCCCAAGCAAGGUGCUGGAAUUUGGUGUUUCCCUUUGAUAAGUCAGUUACUCUCCGCUUGGGUAGACAAGGCUGGCAUGGGCCUGGAAGGGAAAUGUUCUUAUCCUUAACGAUACUUCUGAGAAACUACCCCAUCUACCCCAGGAUAAAGAGUACAGUUAAGAUGUCAUGCAUAUCCCUAGUAACCUCGUGAGUCCAGAUAACUUCUAAAUUUGUGAUAGUAGAGAUUGGUAACUGCAUCUUAAAUCUUUCAGGGAAUUAUGGGAAGCAGGUUCACUCAGGUCUUGCCCUUACAAUAUACUGUUUGGACACAAAAUGGAAGAACUUUUAUCAUCUUUUUAGUACAGGUUUUUGAAAGCGUGCAUUUAAAACAGUUUCCGCUGGCUUUGCAUGUGACAAGUGUGAAAAGACUAGCAACUUGUGAAAAGACUGUAGCAACUAACUUGAAAGGGCUCUAUAAGUGUAGGUUUUCAAAUGCUAUUCAUCCUUUGGAAAGGAAUUUCUUUGUUACCAGUCAAAGCAGGUAUCUGAAGGUCUGCUUGGUAGAAAGCACAUCAGCUGCCUGGCUCACAAUGACUAGAAAUGGCUGGGUUUUUCUUACAUCCCAAAUCAUGAAGUGUGUGGUUUCAUAGCUUCAUGGCAAGCUGAUCUCAUUUGGAGCAGCCACGGCCCAGCUCCUUACCCUUGCACUGGCAGAUGCUCUCGAAUUCCACUAGUCCAUUCCAUGCAGUUAAGUGUGUUUUCCCCCACCAUCAACAGAGUAGCUCUCCAAAAACUCUUCUUUCCUACCAACCUAAGCUAGCAUUUCCUAGGUCAGCUCCUUGAGCCAUCUUGCCUCAGGGCCAGAUAGUGCAGUGGGGCACAAUGGGCAGGAGGGAGAGUGGGACUGCAGUAGUCCCAGUUUAGAUUAACAUUGGCCGUCACAGAACCAUGCCCAAAGAUUUAGCAGGGCAGAAUCAGGAUGAUCCUGCAGGACAGGGCAUACUGGGUCAUGUUCCUAAAGCUGUUUUCAUUUCAUCUAUUCAUUGCCCUGAGGCAUGACCUUCCUGUCCUGCUAGAUUCACAGUUCAAGUUGCUUCAUUUAUGUGUGUGCAUCUAAGCCUCAGGAAGAGGUUGCCUGUGUUCUCUCUACUUCUCCUACAGGUGAAAUUUCUUUCAGAAGAUCAAAGAACCAUCUUGCAAAUAUUUUACAUAUUCAGAAUAGAAAAGGUGACACAAAGCAUUUUAGCUGCUGCUCAGAAAGUCCUGUCAACACCCAGCAGGAUGGAAGAUUCCUGUUUUGUGGAUGGAUGUAGCCAUCUUACCUACGUUCUUCAUCUAGGGAAAGCCAUUACUGCUAAUGCAUCUCAUAGGUGUUAAAUCAACAUAAUCCCAUCAUUAGAUAUUUUGGUCUCCUACUGAUCUGGGAUCAGAGUAGCACCUGAAUUUUGAAAGGGGAGAUUUAGCAUUAGCUUGCGAAAGAAAAUGUCUUUGCUAAGGUUUUAUUUAAAUGGCAGAAAAGUCUGAAAAUCACCUUUUUAUAGCUACCAUUUUAUCUGAAAUGCUUCUUGACUUCUGAUCCUGUUUUUCCAUUGCCCUUUCCCAAUUAAUGGUUCAUCUUUUAUCUUCUGAAAUCCCUGUAUGACUAUUAAAAGCUGAAUUAUUACCAGAAAUGGGCAGAAGGACAAGAUGAGUAAUGAGGGAGCAAUCUCUUGUUUAUAAAUUGGUCUUUAAUCAGCAGUUUAGGAAGGCAGACGGAAAAAUAAAUUAAGUAGAGCAUGUUUUGAAAGCGUAGCUAAGCAUGAAUGUCAUUCUUAAAAAUUAGCCUCACAGGCAAAUACUUGAUGAGUUUUUUGUCCUUAUCUUAAAAGAUUAAACAAAAAAAAGUACCAAAAAUGAGUUGUUUCUAGAAGAUGCUGUGAAGAGAGUUGCGAAGUAGGUGAAAUGUGCCAGAGAGAAGCAAGAAAUAUUAGCAAAUACUUCGAGUACUUUAGAGCAAGGGUUUUAUCUGUUGGUAGAACUAGUAAAAUAAGUGAUUAGACCCAUCAUGAAGUUUUUAUUCUUUUGUUGUUAAAACUAAAACCUACCACCACAAUCUAUCAAGACACAUAGAGCUUGAGGUCUGCCACAGCCCCCUGUGCCAGCCACCCUUACUUUGGACUAUGAGUGUACUCCCUUCUCAUUUCCUACAACACACAGAGCCCUCUCCCUGCUUUCUUUAAGCUGCCUUAGAUCAGCUGAAUUAGCUUCUCCUGCCAAGCCCUGUGUAGAUGCAGUUUCUUCCCCCUUCCUUAUGCAGUCUGCUGGUAUCUCUUGGUUCUCUUCUUUAUAGAGCAAGACGUUCCAUGGAAUUAAUGCUAUUAGCCUAAAAUCGUGUUUGCAGGGAUGUUUAUGGUUUGUUUCCAAUAUUCAGAAUAAGAAUCUUAAGAAAAAACAAAGCAACAAAACUAACAAAACACUCUUGAAAGGAUGGAAGGACAGCAUGGUAGGGAGCAAUUGUUUGGAUGUAAUGGCAUUCAACAUGCUUCUUUUGAACAGAGCAAAGGGUCUCUGAUGUCUGCUGCUCACUCCUGCAUUAUUAGCAGAGCUCUGAGGAGUGCUGUCAAGAAAGGGACGUAAACUAACCAAACCUCAUGUGAAAGCCAGCACAGGGAAGUUAGAUGUAUGUUUCUUUUUCUCUUGCUCCUGAAUCCUUUUAGUUAAGCAUAGCGGAACACCCCUCCCUAAAAAUCUGUUUAAAUACAAUUUCUUUGUGGGUGGCAGGAGAGUUUUUUGGCUGAAGCAUAAGAUGAAGAGUGUCUUAGAUUCAGCUUCUGUUCAAUGUUCUGGCAAACUUCUGAAGAUUUUGGGCAGCAGUUUUACUCUGUGCCGUAGUUUCUUCAUCUCUGAAAUGGGACUACCAGUCUGCCUCACGGCAUGCUGACGCUAAAUAAACUGUAGAAUUUCAGGAGAUCGUUGCAUGUGAAAGCACUGCAUAGAGUUACUGUUUAUUCAGAAAUUCUGAAGGAAGCUCCCUAUUAGCAAGGCCUAAUUUCUGGUCUGAGAGUGAGCUGACAAUCUCACCAUUCUUAUUUUUCUCACCGUAGGUUGCUAUGUUGGUCUCUAAACCAGAUCCCAGCAUUCUUUAAUACUGGUUUAAUAUUCAGGCGCUUUACUGUACACAGUCUUUAAAGGUUAACGGGUGUGUCAGCUCUUCGUUAUUAAACCAGUUUGACACCAGACUAGAAAUUAGUUUGCAGCCUGACACGUUUAUUGCAGUUGAUGCUUUUCAGGAGGAUAUAUGUGCAAUAAGGAGCUUAAAGUGAAAUUAAACUGACACAUUUUCAAAUGCAUAAUGAAUUAGACUUCGCUUGAACUUUCAGACCUCUAUCUUGGGAAGAAUGGGUACAGCUUGCUUUCAAGAAAUCCUUUUUUCAGUAAAAUAUGCUGGAUCUGUAUUCAAUGUUCUCUCACUAUGUAUUCUCUUGUGCUUUAAUUUUAACAGUUUGCAUUUUUUAACAUCUUUUACAUUCAACCUAAUGUUCGACUAGUCUAGAGAAAAUCUCUGACCACCUAGUAACCGAUACCGUCUUUUUAAACCAAGCUCUUGUCCUCCCUCUACAGGAGAAUUUGCAGCGUUCAAGUAGCCACAGCACCAUGGCAGCACCCACUCUGUUAUUUAAGUCUUGUGUUCCUACAGUUUCUUAACAUCCAAACUCUGUUCUGCUCCGCAAAACCUAAAGUAAUUUAGAAAAGAUAUUCAUAAGCUUAAAAGUGGAGCAGAAUGGAACUGCCAGUCCAACACAAUGGGAAAAAGUACCUUUUUGGGAACCAGAAUCCUCUGCUGCCAGUGUUUCUCCUUCAACACAAACCACCACGUGCAUUCGGAGACCCGCAGUGGCUGCCUGUGCCGUUGGCAUCAUUCCCAGGAGAGAGGAGAGGGCGCUCGUGGUUUGACUGUGGUGCUCGGGCAUGAGGGGAUGGAACUGCUGCUGCAACUUAGGAGACUUGCUUUGGAUGGUCUGCCGGUCGGCUUUCUCCCUCUAACAACGUACCAUCAGAGGCUGAAAAUCUGAUGAGUGCUAAUUUACAAGAAUCAUCCUCUGUUCUGAUCUUUUUUUUCCCAGUGUACUCACUGAUUUACGGACAAUGCAGUAUCCCCUUUUCACUGUAUUACAACGUCAAACACCUAAAUCUGUCUAUGUUAUUGGGGUUUAUUCCGAUAAAGUUAAAAGCGGGGGGUGAUGGGAGCUGGAGAAGAUGUGGCUCUAAGUCAGUGAGGUUAAUCUGAAGGAAAAGGGGAUGCUGCUGCACCUUUUUUCAGAUUUACUUUAUCACUUCUUCAAAAACAUACAACCACCACCAACCUUAACCUGUUUCCUUUUCCAGUGUUUUCUUGGUGUGUGCAUAUACAACAUCUUGUAGAAGGGUUAGGUAGAUCCUUCUUUUGUUGGUCCAGCAACAAACUGAAGUUCAAAAAAAAAA
rnacentral:lncRNA from 1 species